CGAGAUGGAGACCAAGCUCAUGGCUCAGUGCGGCCAGAGGCACAAUCAACAAUUGACUGACAUUGACUCACAGUGAGAUAGAACUAAGUAACAAAAUCAAGAUGCGUGCGUACGACAUCAUAGCUGGAAAGGCGAAUGUUUCGGUGUGUAUGCCGCUGCCACUGAUCUUAUGAAACGAUGCAUGGUUAAUCUGAAGUGUAUCGCCAAAGAGGCAGAGUUGAUGUGCGAGCAUAUGUGCAUGUGUACUUGUGUGUGUUAGCAGGCAGGAGCCCACCGCCGUGCCCGCCGGCGGCAUCGCCCAUGGCCGAGAAGACCGAGGACACCGAGGACCCAACGCCCUCAAGUACGAUGGCGUUGUACCGUCCUUUCUGCUGCGACUUAUGUUGACAAGUUUUGAGAUCGAUCUCAAUCUACAUAUGACCGUGAUCGGGAGGCGAACCCGGUUGCGCUUAGAGACAGUUGAAUAAUGGAGAUCCUCCAGCCACCGAGCUCCUCAAGGACACCUAAGGUGAGAAAUCCACGUUUUUUCAUACUGCUUGACGUUUAGGCCGAGCAGCCUGGUGAACUUCGACCCCAUCCAACCUCAUUUCGGCCACCACGUGGCUCCCCUCCCCACCUCACCCCGUCCAACGCAGUGCCUUCGUGCUAAGAGUUCAAGGGACUGUCCCCUCUCACCUAAGACAAGGUACAGUUUUUGAUCUUUCUUACACAUUUCUUCUGCUCAUGUACUAAUGUAAAGGUUUCACAAGGUAUGUUGGUUAUGUGGGCAUUCGUAUGAAGUUAUGUGAGCAUGCGCUAGGUAUGAAAAGUUUUGUUUUAGUUGAUUGACAUUGAGGAUUAAAAACCUUAAAUGUGCCAUCAUGUUUUUAGGCGGUGUGCUCCAGGUUUGGCAAAUAUUAACUAACACUACAUGAACAUGAAGAUAAUCUUGGUGCCGGGCAAGCCUCACAUAGAGGUACAAUAUUCUUGGCAUAUCAAUAAUCCGAUUUAAUUAAUGUUGUUUGCCGA